rnacentral:rRNA from 1 species
GCCUAGCCAUAAACUUAGACUAACACCAAUACAAUGUUAUCCGCCAGAGAACUACAAGCGAAAAGCUAAAAACUCCAAGGACUUGGCGGUGCUUCAAACCAAUCUAGAGGAGCCUGUCCUAUAAUCGAUACUCCACGUUUUACCUUACCGCCCUUUGUCAAUCAGCCUAUAUACCGCCGUCGUCAGCCUACCUUAUGAAAGAAAUAAAGUAAGCAAAAAAGUUAACAACUAACACGUCAGGUCAAGGUGUAGCACACGAGGCGGCAGAGAUGGGCUACAUUUUUUCAAAGAGAAAUUACGAAUAGAAUGCUGAAACACACCCUUAAAGGUGGAUUUAGUAGUAAAGUAUAAAAGAAAGUAUACUUUAAACCUGCUCUGAAGCGCGCACACACCGC